rnacentral:rRNA from 1 species
UGGGGAAUAUUGCACAAUGGGCGCAAGCCUGAUGCAGCCAUGCCGCGUGUGUGAAGAAGGCCUUCGGGUUGUAAAGCACUUUCAGCGGGGAGGAAGGCGAUAAGGUUAAUAACCUUGUCGAUUGACGUUACCCUCAGAAGAAGCACCGGCUAACUCCGUGCCAGCAGCCGCGGUAAUACGGAGGGUGCAAGCGUUAAUCGGAAUUACUGGGCGUAAAGCGCACGCAGGCGGUCUGUCAAGUCGGAUGUGAAAUCCCCGGGCUUAACCUGGGAACUGCAUUCGAAACUGGCAGGCUAGAGUCUUGUAGAGGGGGGUAGAAUUCCAGGUGUAGCGGUGAAAUGCGUAGAGAUCUGGAGGAAUACCGGUGGCGAAGGCGGCCCCCUGGACAAAGACUGACGCUCAGGUGCGAAAGCGUGGGGAGCAAACAGG